rnacentral:rRNA from 1 species
AUUGAACGCUGGCGGCAGGCCUAACACAUGCAAGUCGAGCGACCGGCGGACGGGUGAGUACUGUAUCGCUACGUGCCCCGUAGCGGGGGCUAACUACACCAAGCAGUGGCUCAUACCACAUCCUCUUGGACCGGCGGAUUUCGGAUUAGCUAGUUGGUGGGGUAAAGGCCCACCCAGGAAACGGUCCGUAGCUGGUUUGAGAGGACGACCAGCCACACUGGCACUGAGACACGGCCCAGACUCCUACGGGAGGCAGCAGUGGGGAAUUUUGGACAAUGGGGGAAACCCUGAUCCAGCCAUCCCGCGUGUAUGAGAAGGCCUUCGGGUUGUAAAGUACUUUUGGCAGAGAAGCGGUAUCUGCAGAAUAAGCACCGGCUAACUACGUGCCAGCAGCCGCGGUAAUAC